rnacentral:rRNA from 1 species
GUGUCAGCAGCCGCGGUAAAACGUAGGUGGCGAGCGUUAUCCGGAUUUACUGGGCGUAAAACGCGUGCAGGCGGUCUGGUAAGUCGGGCGUGAAAUCUCUCGGCUCAACCGAGAGAGGUCGUCCGAUACUACCGGACUUGAGGGCAGUAGAGGAAGGUGGAAUUCCCGGUGUAGUGGUGAAAUGCGUAGAUAUCGGGAGGAACACCAGUGGCGAAGGCGGCCUUCUGGGCUGCCCCUGACGCUCAGACGCGAAAGCUAGGGGAGCGAACGGGAUUAGAAACCCCGGUAGUCCUAGCUAUAAACUAUGCAGACUGGGUGUCGGCGGCUUCAACUCCGCCGGUGCCGUAGCCAACGCGAUAAGUCUGCUGCCUGGGGACUACGGCCGCAAGGUUAAA